GCCUGGGUGGCUCAGUCGGUUAAGCGUCUGACUUCAGCUCAGGUCAUGAUCUCGUGGUUUGUGCGCGGUUUGUGAGUUCAAGCCCCACAUCCGGCU
rnacentral:tRNA from 1 species